AGUGGUUAAGCAUUUGGCUGCUAACCAAAAGGUUGGUGGUUCAAACCCAUCAGCUACUC
rnacentral:tRNA from 1 species